rnacentral:rRNA from 1 species
CCCGCUGAACUUAAGCAUAUCAAUAAGCGGAGGAAAAGAAACUAACAAGGAUUCCCCUAGUAACGGCGAGUGAAGCGGGAAGAGCUCAAAUUUGAAAUCUGGCGGUCUACGGCCGUCCGAGUUGUAAUCUAGAGAGGUGUUUUCCGUGCCGGACCGUGUACAAGUCUCCUGGAACGGAGCGUCAUAGAGGGUGAGAAUCCCGUCUUUGACACGGACUACCAGGGCUUAUGUGAUGUGCUCUCAAAGAGUCGAGUUGUUUGGGAAUGCAGCUCUAAAUGGGUGGUAAAUUCCAUCUAAAGCUAAAUAUUGGCGAGAGACCGAUAGCGAACAAGUACCGUGAGGGAAAGAUGAAAAGAACUUUGGAAAGAGAGUUAAACAGUACGUGAAAUUGUUGAAAGGGAAACGCUUGAAGUCAGUCGCGUUGCCCAGAAAUCAACCUUGCUUUUGCUUGGUGUACUUUCUGGUUAACGGGUCAGCAUCAAUUUUGACCGGUGGAUAAAGGUCAGGGGAAUGUGGCAUCUUCGGAUGUGUUAUAGCCCUUGGUUGCAUACAUCGAUUGGGAUUGAGGAACUCAGCAUGCCGCAAGGCCGGGUUUUUAACCACGUACAUGCUUAGGAUGCUGGCAUAAUGGCUUUAAUCGACCCGUCUUGAAACACGG